rnacentral:rRNA from 1 species
UACGAAGGGUGCAAGCGUUACUCGGAAUUACUGGGCGUAAAGCGUGAGUAGGUGGUUCGUUAAGUCUGAUGUGAAAGCCCUGGGCUCAACCUGGGAAUUGCAUUGGAUACUGGCGGGCUAGAGUGCGGUAGAGGAUGGCGGAAUUCCCGGUGUAGCAGUGAAAUGCGUAGAGAUCGGGAGGAACAUCUGUGGCGAAGGCGGCCAUCUGGACCGGUACUGACGAUGAGGCGCGAAAGAUAGGGGAGCAAACGGG